GCCGAAGUGGCGGAAUUGGUAGACGCGCUAGGUUCAGGGUCUAGUGUCUGUAUGGAUGUGCGAGUUCGAGUCUCGCCUUCGGCA
rnacentral:tRNA from 1 species